GUCGAGAAUCAUUUGCAAUGGGCGAAAGCCUGACAGUGCGACGCCGCGUGCAGGAUGAAGGCCUUCGGGUUGUAAACUGCUGUCAUGAGGGAACAAGUGUCGGGGCGUGAAUAGCGCCAAGGCUUGAUAGUACCUCAGGAGGAAGGCACGGCUAACUCUGUGCCAGCAGCCGCGGUAAUACAGAGGUGCCAAGCGUUGUUCGGAUUUACUGGGCGUAAAGGGUGCGUAGGCGGUUCCGUAUGUCGGAUGUGAAAUCUCCCGGCUUAACCGAGAAAUGGCAUCCGAAACUACGGUCCUAGAGUACUGGAGAGGAGAGCGGAAUUCUCGGUGUAGCGGUGAAAUGCGUAGAUAUCGAGAGGAACGCCGGUGGCGAAGGCGGCUCUCUGGACAGAUACUGACGCUGAGGCACGAAAGCUGGGGGAGCAAACAGGAUUAGAUACCCUAGUAGUCC
rnacentral:rRNA from 1 species